AGUUUUAAUAUUUUUUAUAACGAAGAGACUUAAUCUGGUCUCUUUAUAGAUGAAUAACUAGUCCCAGAAACUAAAUUUAGCGGGACAAGGCCCCACUUACAUUAAAGUCCAUUUCUCUCUUUUUUUGGGUCGUAAUAAAAUCCAUUUCCCAAAAGUCACUCGACACAGUAAAAUCCAUAAACCCUAAUCUCUUCACCUUGGCCCGACGUUGAGUGCUCUUUAUCUCCAUCGACGAUUGAAGGACGCCGCUGAUAUCGAAGAAUUCCCAGCCUCAAAAUUCUUGGAUAACUUACUCUCAAGAGAGCGAUGAGGGACCCGCCUUCAAGUACUGCUCCUGCGAUUUCAUGAAGAAGGUUUACGGCUGGGCUCAGCAACAACUGCAAUGUAACAACUGCGAUAAUCGAGGCAAUGGAGGUUUCGAAUCAGAAGUUUUGCGAAAAAGCCUAUUAUUAUGCUCGUCUAAGGUACUUGAGACCAUGGAUUGUUCCUAUGCCUGAAACAACUUUCACAACUAGGAUUGAUGAGGACGAGUGUCAGAUACUGGCCAAUGACGGUCUUUGGGAUGGCUCAUUGCAUUUUAAGACGGCGACGCUGAUCUAUGACAGAUGAUGA